rnacentral:tRNA from 1 species
GGUUGGUUAGUUAAAAGAUAAUAUAAGUUUGUCAGGCUUAAGUUGUCCUGAGAGGAUACCACCCG